AUUCCCUAGGUAUUGCUCCAGGAAAUCAACUUGCUGUCUCUGUCCGAAGUCCUCCUUCAUAAUGUCUGUAGGAACACAUUAGUUUUAGUAACUUUAGUAACUUCUUACAAAGGCCUCCAUGAGACCAUGGUCUGUGUCCGCUGUGAGACUCCAAUAUAAACAGGAGUGGGAAAGGAGAUUUGAGAGUAGAGACGUGUAGGAUGAAAAGGGAAAAGGGAAGAGAGAGAGGUGCAGAAAGAACAAACAGCCUAUUGAGGAUAUUGGUAGCCAUAGAAGGUUUUGAUGCCUGCACCAAGUCUCGAAGGGAACAAGUAGAUGCUACUCUCAGUGUCCACUAAACCAUAAGUCCUUUGAGGAUACAGGAAGACAUCCACCAAUCUCAAGAUCAAAAUGUGAUAAGAGGAAGUCUGCAAGCAAAGAAGAUGUUACCCACCACCACCUCUUACAGAAAUGGCAGAAUCUCUGGGAAUAAUGGUUUUCACAAAGAAAGCAUUCCUAAUCACUCAGGGGGAACUAGGUCACCACCACAAAUUGUCCUCCAGUUAAAAGCAUGAACUCUUCUGGACACGAAUUCUCUUCUGAGUGUGAGGAUGCCAUGACUGUGAUACAGGGUAAAGUGGGAUGGAGUGCUUAAUCCCCAAGAAAGUCCAUCAGGAAUAGGAGAAGGCCAGUUUAAGAGCAUUUAAUGUUGUCCAACAAGUCCAACUGAAAUCGGGAGUGGUUAAUCCUCAUAAAUAUAAUAUCUAUCAUUAGUUAUUCAGGAAAUAUGGGAAGUCAGUACCAAGUCAGAUGGUCCAAAACACGCAAGUCAAUUAAGCAGCCUGAAAGAGGUGACACGAGGCAUGAGUGAUGCCCAAAGAAGGUGACACGCCCAGUGUAGCUGGUUACAAAGCAAGCCUCCUGAUAGCUGGAUGUGUUUUGAAAUACUUGUAAAGUCCUUGGUAAGCAUCUCCUAUUCUUGUGAUAAAUAAACACUACCAAGGAAAAAGUACUAAACCACUCAACUGAAGUUUGAAUUGAUAAAGAAUGGUAAUGUGCACAAUACUGAAUGACCUUGGAGCCUCUUUGAUCUGUGCGUUUCUAUAUUCAGCUCAAGGUCCCAUUGAAACCAAGGAGUUUAUGUUUGGGCCAAUAAAUAGAGCUAAUAAAAGUUCACCCUUGGACUGGGACUCUUUGAAUGGCUGGAACAUGGGUCAUUUAUGGUGUUUGAUGACUGUGAAUGCCAACAAAACUACUACUGAGUAUAUAUGGCUUCUUUUACACCCUAGAUGAGAAAAGCCUGCCUGUAGCAUGUAGGAGAGUAAAAAAGAGAAUAAGCAACCUGAUGCCACAUAUUGAAAUUUCAUUUGACAAAUAUGCAUUGAAUAUCUACUAUGUGGCAGACAGCCUUCAAGCAGGAGGGAUACACAGAUGAACCAAAUGUAGGCCCUGCCUGUGAGACUCCAGACUGGACAGAAUGCACUUAAGUCCACAUAGCAGUAAUACACGUCGGACUGUGAGGAUGGCUGAGCAGAAGGAAGAGCAAGGAAUUCUCUAUGGGAAGACUCUGGAAGGCUUUAACAAGGAUGUGCUCUUUAGCUGAACCUUAAAGCAUGAGUGAAAAAAAAGAGCAGAAAAAGGUGGUGUUUUGAGCAGAGAACAGACACUGAGCAAGAAGCAGAAGAGCAGAGGAGCCGAGAAAGCUGGACAGAGUUCUAGAAAUGUGGCAUGGAAGGAAUGAAAGGUCUGAGGAGGGAAAGGAGGUCAGGACCAACUACGAAUGGUCUGGAAUGACUUGCUACACGUGGAUUUGACUUUAUUUGUAGGCCGGGGGGUUGUAGAGGUUUUAUAUUUUUAUACAUUUAUUUUUUAAUUUUCAUAUUUCAACAGAGCUUGUUUCAAGUAAUUCUUAUGUAAAACAUGAAUGUAUACAACAAAAACAAGCGGGUGAUGUUUCAUUAGUACAAACGUGCUUUUAUAAUCUUAACUUUAUUAAGCUUGCUUAUUCUUAAGUUAACCAAUGAGAACAAUUCUAAUCGUCUGCACAUGAGUCAAGAUUUUGCACUCUGUGCAAGUGACUGAAAACUCAAUUCAAACUAACUCAGGAAAAAAAAAAGUGGGGGAAGGGAGGAAGAAGAUUUAUUACCCAUAUAAAUCCAGGAGGGGUUCUGGGAUUCAGGAAUCAGUUGAUUGUGGGGCUGAAAGAAUAUUAUCAAAGCUUCAGCUGAUUUCUCAGCUCCAUGUCCCCUCUAUAGUAGCUGCUUCAUUCUCAACAUGAGCAUCCUUGGUAGUCCCCAGGAACGCUGGGCUUAGAAUCACCUUUACAAGCGGCAAUCUUCCUUUCCUACCAAAGCCCACCACAGUCCCAGAACUAAGCCUCAGCGACCUGGCCCGCCUCACAUGUCCAUCCCUGAACCUGUGGCCAACACAAUGGUGUAUCCCAAAUGAGCAUGGUGGGUCCUGCAUACAUCCAGGUCUCGAAGGAAAAUCGAGCUGCUGUCACCGGAAGGAGGAUGCACAGGAAAAAAAAAACACAGUUUAUUCUAUUUUGACCAAUGUGAAAAUUUUAAAUUUAGGAUAAGGGAUUGCAGGUUUAUACCAGUUUUAACACUCACUUUGUUUCUGUAUUUUAUUUGCACAGUAUUGAGAAAAUUCUGAUUCAUUACUGGUAACUGUUUUUUAAAUAGCAUACCUGUUUAAAUUACACCUGGAACAUUCAAAAUAGUCUUAAAUUAAACUUGUGCCAAAGUGUAAGUAGGUUGAAAGUCUGAGCAAUGGGAAGUUUUAUUUCAAAGUUUAAUUCUACAAACAAUCUCCUCUGUUAAUUUAAGUGUUCACUGGGAAGAUGUUUCUCAAAUGUAUCUAUAAUAUCUAACAAGAAAUUCAACAAUGUUACUUAUUUUUUAAACUUAGUAUCUCAGUAACUAUUGCUCAAAGCUUGAGUGUGAUAAAAUUAAUGUUUUGCUCUUUGAGUCAUAAAGUUAGGUUUCAACUUAAUUGCUGGCAUGCUAUCAGCAAAUGUAAGCAUGGUGAUAUUGCAACUUCACAUUGCCAAACUGAACUCAUUCAGUUUCUUGAAAAACAUCAGCAAGUUUAUGCAACUCUGUUAUAUCAGAGAACUAUUUGCUAAGUCUCAUUUGGGAUACAAUAUUUAGUGAUUUCUUGUCUCAUUUGAAAGAGUAAUAACAACACCUUGCCUCAAGACAGUUGGUAAGUGUACUUUCCCAGGAGAAAGUACACUGUGGAACCCACAACCCAAUACAUUCCCAAAAACUAUAAAAAGGCUGAAAUUGGAAUCUCCUGUCUCAUUAAACUGACAAUGUAAAGGAAAUCGCUAAUCACUGUUUUUGCUUUUGUUUUUUGAGACGGAGUCUCGCUCUGUAGCCCAGGCUGGAGUGCAGUGGCGCAAUCUCGCUCACUUGCAAGCUCCGCCUCCCGGGUUCACGCCAUUCUCCUGCCUCAGCCUCCCCAGCAGCUGGGACUAUAGGCGCACACCACCACGCCCGGCUAAUUUUUUGUAUUUUUAGUAGAGAUGGGGUUUCACCGUGUUAGCCAGGACCGUCUCCAUCUCCUGACUUUGUGAUCCUCCCGACUCGGCCUCCCAAAGUGUUGGGAUUACAGGCGUGAGCCACCGCGCCCAGCCUAAUCACUGUUUUAAGAGAUGCUCAUGUCACCUUAAUAGCAAGUGCUUUUCUGUGCAACUUGCCAUGUCUUAUUCAAAAUCACAUUUCACCAAGAAAAUUCCUCAGCACUUUGCACCACUUCAUCCCAUUCUGCAUAGCCUUAUUUUCCUAAUUGGGCUAACAUGACUCUUUUCUUAGCCUGAGAGCCCUGCAAGGGCUGGAACUCUCUUAUUAUGUGCUUUCUCUCCAUUGAGCUUACUAAUGUAUACUCAGAGCUUAGACUGUAAAUGUUUGGUGAAUAAAUUAUGUAUGUAUGUAUGUAUGUAUGUAUAUUUAAUGUGUUUUAUUUACAAAAAAAAUUAAAGGAAAAUUUUCACCAAGCCAUUGUUUCAAAUAAAAUUCUUUUUUUUUAAUUUUUUUUUUUAUUUUGAGACAAUCUCACUCUGUCACCCAGGCUGGAGUGCAGUAGCGCAAUCUUGGCUCACUGCCACCUCCGCCUCCUGGGUUCAAGCGAUUCUCGUGCCUCAGCCACCCAAGUAGCUGGGAUCACAGGCAUGUGCCACCAUGCCCAGCUAAUUCUUGUAUUUUUAGUAGAGACGGGGUUUCACCAUGUUGACUAGGCUGGUCUUGAACUCUUGGCCUCCCAAAGUGCUGAGAUUACAGACAUGAGCCACCACACCCAGCCUCAAAUAAAAUUCUUGAGAUUAAGAGUUUUUACACCCCUUAUAAAUAGCACACAAAACAAGAAACCAAAAACUUAUCUCCUCUACAGAAAUGUUUUGCAAUGGCUAUUUUGACCCCAGGACCAUUUACAUUCCUCAUUCAUUCAUCAAACAGUUAGGAAGCACCUACUACAUGCUAUUAAACUGUCCCCAUUGCUGAGGAUAUCUUCUGAAAGACAUUAAAUACAGUUUUUGACCUCAAGGAGUCUAGUCAGGGAGAAUCAUAGAACUCAAAUCAUCAUCAUGCCACCUGAUGUGUGCCAUAAGAGAGAUACGAAUAUUACGUGGUGUUGAUUAGGCUCUUUCGGGUUGCCAGGAAAAGAGACGUGCUCUGGUGACUUGCAUUAAUGUGGUUCAUUAUGAGGAAGUAGGGAAGAACAGGAAGCAGUUUUAGCAGCUGCCUGGCGGGUCUGGCAGAGCCAGGAAUGUCAUUCAGGACAUAGUAUACCUCCAGCCACCUGUUCUUCUUGACAUUGCUUCAACGGCAAGCAUCUGUUGCUCCUUCUCUAGUGCUCUGCCAGUGUGAUGACUCAGCCACGCUCUGCCCUGCUUUCUCUGCUCGUGCUGCUAAAUCC
rnacentral:lncRNA from 1 species